GACUUCAUGCGUGUGAAGCGAUGCUCACAACAUAGGAACCAAUUGCAUAUAAUCUGUUCUCCUACAUGCACUUCAGAAUGUGCAUAGAGCUUGUUCGGCUUGGGGACACAAAUUUUGAUGCGUACGAUUGUCUGGUUUAUUUGUUGAAGGCAAAUUUGGUGGACAUGAAACUUUUUGCCGAGGUGAGAGAUGGGAUUAGUUUGGAAGACCGGCUUGCUGAAAAUGGAGUAGUUGUCAAGCUGUUGAAAAUACAUACUAUGUGUAGAUCGUAAAACUCAAGAGCAUCCAACAAAUGCUGGUAGUGGUGACAAUGUUUCAGUAAUAUACCAGGAAACAGGUUAGCAUAACUAUCAGUGCCAGGCUACCAGCUACAAGGAAAGAGAAUGAUUGGCCAAUGACCAGCAGGGAGAAAGCCCCUUAGGAAGGAUUGGGUAAGAGGACCAAUUUCUGCAGCAUUUUCUGCCGCCAUAGUCACAAAAGGACUACAUGGACAGACAGAGGUGAUUCUCCGAAACAUCUUGCAAACUGGGCAGGUGCAAUAGCUAUGGCGUCGAGGGACAGAAAAGGAACAAUUUUACCAAGCCCAUAGAAUUUAGAUUGCCAACGGAAACUAAAAUGAGUGCAAAUUAUGAGACCCUUUUUUGGUUAGUAGUUAGUUUUACUUUCUCAAUACUCGAGUCAAGAUUCUUCCUAAUGGUCACCAUGGGAUCGACAAAACUCUUUAGGUGGCGGAGAAGUUUGAUAUGAGCCUCUAAGGUUGACGAUUCUGAAGUUAUUGGGUUUUUGCUUCCAACUGAAAUGAUUCCUUUAUAUCUGAGUACUAUGGAGAUGGGCUGUGAACUUACCAGAACAAGGAAGGGGAUGCCCGAGACUGAGACGAUGACGGUGGUCGCAAAGCACAGCUGCAGGAGUGGACAACAGAGACAAACACUCCCUUGGAUUCGUCGUGAUUCUGGAAUGGGAGGAAGGUCGCUGCUGCUACCGCCCAUGAAGCUGACGAUGAUCAGUGGCCGUCAUGCAGCGGCGAGGUGGCGGUUGUGGAGGGGAAGGGGGAGGGGAGGGUAGACGCGCGGGCGAAAACCCACACGGUGAAGGAAGGGGAUGCCUCAGGUGGCGACGGUCAUGACGGUCAUUAUAUUGUGAUAUGUUAUUUGCAUAUAAAUGAUUCAGGGGACCCUGAUUGUUCGAAGAUGGGGCCCAUCUCUUUCUAAACUGCAAAGAAGUGAAGGAGCAAUGGUAUGCCUUGCUGCUGGAGGAAAUCCGGAUCAGAGUGUAAUUCAGCACAUGACGUCAUGAGAAAAAUUCUGAGGUUGCGGAGAAGGAUAAGUUGCUCACUAUUUGAGUGUGGGCCGAGCAAAUUUUGAAACAGACUGUCUGAUCCUCAAGCAGGCUGUGAGCUUUGCUGCUGGGUAUUUUUUUAUGUGAUAUCAAGUACGCACUACUAUAAGCGUACUUUAUUCAUUGAUUGAGGCUAGAGUGAUUCAUGCUCCAAGGGGAUGUAACCAGCCAUCUAAUGUGCUGGCAGCUUUGGGUGCAGGAUUAGACAAUGGUGAUCAUGUUGAAUGGUUCUCAGACUACUUUGAGGU